UAGGGAAUCUUCGGCAAUGGACGAAAGUCUGACCGAGCAACGCCGCGUGAGUGAAGAAGGUUUUCGGAUCGUAAAACUCUGUUGUUAGAGAAGAACAAGGACGUUAGUAACUGAACGUCCCCUGACGGUAUCUAACCAGAAAGCCACGGCUAACUACGUGCCAGCAGCCGCGGUAAUACGUAGGUGGCAAGCGUUGUCCGGAUUUAUUGGGCGUAAAGCGAGCGCAGGCGGUUUCUUAAGUCUGAUGUGAAAGCCCCCGGCUCAACCGGGGAGGGUCAUUGGAAACUGGGAGACUUGAGUGCAGAAGAGGAGAGUGGAAUUCCAUGUGUAGCGGUGAAAUGCGUAGAUAUAUGGAGGAACACCAGUGGCGAAGGCGGCUCUCUGGUCCGUAACUGACGCUGAGGCUCGAAAGCGUGGGGAGCAAACAGG
rnacentral:rRNA from 1 species